AGAGUUUGAUCCUGGCUCAGGAUGAACGCUGGCGGUCUGCUUAACACAUGCAAGUCGAACGGAGUAGAAAUACUUAGUGGCGGACGGGUGAGUAACGCGUGAGAAUCUGCCUUCAGGACGGAGACAACAGUUGGAAACGACUGCUAAGCCCCGAUGAACCGAAAGGGAAAAUAUUUAUAGCCUGAAGAGGAGCUCGCGUCCGAUUAGCUAGUUGGCGGAGUAAAAGCCCACCAAGGCGACGAUCGGUAGCUGGUCUGAGAGGACGAUCAGCCACACUGGGACUGAGACACGGCCCAGACUCCUACGGGAGGCAGCAGUGGGGAAUUUUCCGCAAUGGGCGAAAGCCUGACGGAGCAAGACCGCGUGAGGGAGGAAGGCUCUUGGGUUGUAAACCUCUUUUCUUGGGGAAGAAAAAAAUGACGGUACCCAAGGAAUCAGCAUCGGCUAACUCCGUGCCAGCAGCCGCGGUAAUACGGAGGAUGCAAGCGUUAUCCGGAAUGAUUGGGCGUAAAGCGUCCGCAGGUGGCUUAUCAAGUCGAUUGUCAAAGGUCCUGGCUCAACUGGGAACAGGCAGUGGAAACUGAAAAGCUAGAGUGCGGUAGGGGUAGAGGGAAUUCCCGGUGUAGCGGUGAAAUGCGUAGAGAUCGGGAAGAACACCAGUGGCGAAAGCGCUCUACUAGGCCUGCACUGACACUCAUGGACGAAAGCUAGGGGAGCGAAUGGGAUUAGAUACCCCGGUAGUCC
rnacentral:rRNA from 1 species